AUCUACAAUGAAUUUUUCGCAGAGCAGAUUGUGUCACUUUUACCAUUCAUGUGUAUGGGGCUUCUCAGUGUAGACAUUCAGGUAUCUGCAGGCUGUUCUGUGGCUAUCUGCUGCUGCUUUAUGACUCGUUGUAUGAGCAGUUUCAUUGGUUUUUUAGCUCUCCAAAAACAGAAACCCCACAACAUGGUGCAGAAACACUGCAUGGUUACAGUAGUCGUAUAUGGAUCAUGUCAUCAGAAUGAUGGAGCACAUAAAAAAUCCUUGUUCCUGUUUUACAGCUUUUGUGCUGAAUAUGCGUUUGGUGAUCUUUGUGUUUGUCAACUUGCUCGUUUUUCUGAAGUUUCGUGCUCUGUGCACUUCUCGGGGCGACCACAGACGGACAGGAACAUUUUUUCAAUUGACAUACUGCCACCGAUUACACUUGGUCAGUGAUUUGGAAAAGCCCCGUUCAGAUGAGGCUCUGAACUGGACUCCGUGCUGGACUCCGUGCUGGACUCCGUGCUGGACUCCGUGCUGGACUGUGUAGACCACCGCCACUGAUCCUGAUUGUCGGCCCUGGACGAUGAGGCGACACCACUGGUCUGCAGCUCACCAGCCCCGUCCUGCAGGUCCUCCACGCCGUCCUGCAGCUCCUCCACGCCGUCCUGCAGCAGAUCGGCUAAGAUUUGUCCAGACAAUGCUAACAACGUGAUUAAUGUUGUUGUUCGGCCCAUCCUAAAAUCACACACUACAACUUUACUGGACAUGAACUGUGUUUACAAAGAUAAAAACCGCAACAACUCAUAAUUUUUUGGGUGCUUUUAUGCAGGAGAAAGGAAGCAGGAUGCCUCUGGUGAUCUGCUGCAGCUCCUGGACAGGUCUGAGGAGCCUUUCUUGGAGCAAAGCCGGCGAGACCAAAACCUGGCCACUGCAAUGCUCGAAAACAUAGAAAGGAUGGACAAUAAUUCAAGUGCUUUAAUUAGUUUGAUGGGCUGCAUGGUGUUGGUGCUGGACGGGCUGCCAAAGAAAUACAUCCUUCCUUUGUAUUAUAGGUUUUUGUAUUCAGCCCACGUGUAUAUACCUGCACUGUGUAAACAGAAAUAAAUUUGUGAAGAGAGCUGCA